rnacentral:misc_RNA from 1 species
CCUAGAGUUGUAGGCUUUGCCUGCUAUCUCUUACCCAUGUCUUUUGAGUACCUUCGUUUCCCCUCGGCGGGUCCGCCCGCCGAUUGGACAAUUUAAACCAUUUGCAGUUGCAAUCAGCGUCUGAAAAAAACUUAAUAGUUA